rnacentral:lncRNA from 1 species
AGAGACAGCCUCUUCUCUAGACCGCAGGCGGGCGCGGACCUGAGGCGCUGCUGCCGGGUGGUCCUUCCUGUGUUGUCCGCGCCCUGGACCAUGGCGGCGCUGGCGGGUAAGAAGGGCCCAUUCCGUCCAGCCCGCCGCUCGCGGGUUUCUGGCUGUCUGGUUUUUCUUGGGUCCGGAAUCCUCAGCGAGAGCCUGGCAGGGUGGGGAGGAUCGAACACAAUGGUUCCCUCGGGACUUGAAGGUCUUGGGACUCUGGAAGUCCGAGCGCAGUCGUUCUAAGACUGAGGGCUCCUUGCGGCCGGCGCGUGGGGCGAAUUCCCGCGAGGUGGAUCCUCGGAUCUGCAGACCGGGCAAGUCUCCUGGCUAAGGAAGCCGAGGCACCUGAGAUUCUGAAAUAUGGGAAGUACAGGGUCUUCCAGAGUUCAGGACUUGAGAUUCCGAGUUAUCCUGGGUUCUAGGUUUUCUGUAGACCCAAAGUUCUCGAAGGUGUCUUUGGACUCUGGGAUUGGGAGGAGUGGUUCCUAGAGAUAGAGUAUGAGUGUGGAGUUUAUGAUGUGGAUAGGAAGACAUCCGACCGUUCUUCCUGAGGCUCAAAGACCUCUGCCUCCUGUGGAGAACAGCUUCAAGUCUUCCUAGAGACUAGUUGAGUCCUCGCGUAGUCUCUGAUGCCAGCAGAUUAAUAGCUCCGCACCUUGAGGGGAAGAGUUGAGUGAAGGAAAUUUCAGAAUUGGCUUAGCUGGGCCUGUAAAUCCCUUCACGAAUCAUCUUGCAGCUUCCUGCCCCGCGGCAUCAUGAACUUUCUGCCGCCUUAUUCCCAGCCACCGGUGUGAGUGGCUCAGUUUCUGGGUCUACCAGGGUCGACUUCCAAAAGUUUUCUAGAAAGGCCAAGGGAGAAUUUUAGGGGUGGGGGAGGGACUGAAUAUGUGCCUCCACUUCCUGGCUUUGGGCCGGUGGACAGUCACUUCCUCCAUCCUGAAUUCAAGGACCGGGCCGCCAGUGGGUCACUUCCUCACUACGGGAACAUGGAAUUUCAGACCUUAUUGGUGAUAAUAUGCUCUGGAGAAGGAAAGCAUGGAGCGGAAAUUCGUCUGUCUCUUCCCUUAAUUUUUUUUCCUGGCUGGUAGUGGUGAUUGCACACCUGUAAUCCCAGACUAGACAGAGCCAGGAGAAUUGCUUGGUCUGUGUGUGGCGUACUAACUAGGUCAACCUGGACGACAGAAUACGAUCCUGUCUCUAAAUAAAUAAUUUUUUUAAAAUUGAGUUGGAUGGGAUGUGGUUCACUUGGUAGAAGGCUUGCACAAAGCAAGGGGUUUCAUCCCCAGCACUGCCUAUACCUGCUGCAUGCCUGCAAUCCCAGGUCGAAGGAGAGUCAGAAUUCAAAGUCAUUCCUCUGAUAUGUAGGGAAUUUGAGGCCAGCCUGGGUUACAUGAGAGAUACGGUCUUUCUUUUUUUCUUUUCAACGAGGCUGGAGAGGUGACUCAGGUUAAGGGUGUGCUGUUCUUGCAGAGGUCCCUUCUGGUUCCUGACACCCAACUCAGUGUCCUAUUCCUCCAGCUCCAGAGGCUUCUUCAGCCCUCUGCAGGUCCCUGCAGUCCUGGAGCCCAUGCACACUCACAUACAUAAAUAAAGUCUGCUCUUAAAAAUU